UACGGAGGAUGCAAGCGUUAUCCGGAAUGAUUGGGCGUAAAGGGUCCGCAGGUGGCAGUGUAAGUCUGCUGUCAAAGAAUGAGGCUUAACCUCAUCAAGGCAGUGGAAACUACACAGCUAGAGUACGGUCGGGGUAGAAGGAAUUCCUGGUGUAGCGGUGAAAUGCGUAGAGAUCAGGAAGAACACCGGUGGCGAAAGCGGACUUCUGGACGAGGACUGACGCUGAGAUGCGAAAGCGUGGGGAGCAAACAGG
rnacentral:rRNA from 1 species